rnacentral:rRNA from 1 species
CCUACGGGUGGCAGCAGUGGGGAAUAUUGCACAAUGGGGGAAACCCUGAUGCAGCGACGCCGCGUGAGUGAAGGAGUUCUUCGGCACGUAAAGCUCUAUCAGCAGGGAAGAACGAAGACGGUACCUGACUACGAAGCCCCGGCUAACUACGGGCCAGCAGCCGCGGUAAUACGUAGGGGGCAAGCGUUAGACGGAGUGACUGGGAGUAAAGGGAGCGUAGACGGCGCGGCAAGCCCGGGGUGAAAGCCCGGGGCUUAACGCCGGAACUGCCUUUGAAACUGCCAAGCUAGAGUGCGGGAGAGGAAAGUGGAAUUCCUGGUGUAGCGGUGAAAUGCGUAGAUAUCAGGAGGAACACCAGUGGCGAAGGCGACUUGCUGGAACGUAACUGACGUUGAGGAUCGAAAGCGUGGGGAGCAAACAGGAUUAGAUACCCCUGUAGUC